CCAAGGGACCAUUGUUACACCGUGGGGCUUCAUGGAAUCAUGGAGAGCACUGUGAUAUUUCGCUCGCCUCAUGGAACAGGGGGACCAUACUAAAGCUGUAUGGUUCCAUGGACACUAGGGACCAUUGUGACACUGUGAGGCCCCAUCUACAGAGGGUCCAUUGUGACACCAAGGGGCCUCAUAGAACUGUGGAGACCAUUAUGAUGCUUUGGGGUGUCAUGGAACCAAGGGGCCAUUGUGACACAGUUGAUGAGUUCUCUUAGAAGAUGUGGUUGUAGAUGCAAGGAGAAAUGAGGUCUUUCUAGAGAAAGAGCAGGGGCAGACUGCUUAUCAGAGAUGCCAUGCCAGGCUCAGGGAGAGCUGUUCCCAGCCCGAGAGCAGGAAGAGCAGCUCAGGCAGCAGGUGGAAGAGCCAUAGCAGAAUGGCCAGAACAUCAAGGCAGAGCCACAAGCAGAGCUGCCCGAAGCUCAGAGUGCCAUCAUGGCAGUGAAGAGAAAGAACAAGGAAGACAUGAGAAGAAUUCAAGAGGAGAUGAAUCUCCAUCAGCACAGGGGCGAUCAACAAAACCAGGUGAGAGAAAGAGUGGCAGCCACUCCACUCAUGAAACUUCCUCUCCAUUGUUGUUUACAAACCAUCAAGGAAGAUGUGCAGGCAGAGCUGCAGGAAUCUGAAGCUAGGAACAAGGCAAGGGAGAAGAGGCUGGAAGAAGAAAUGAAAAUC